rnacentral:rRNA from 1 species
AUGGGAUUCAGAGAUUUACACUGCUUUAAUUUGGCUCUCCUUGCUAAACAGUGUUGGAGGCUUCUAUGUGAACCAGACUCUUUAUGUGCUACAGUCUUGAGAGCAAAAUAUUUUCCUGAGGGUGAUCUACUUAAUUGCAGUCUUAAGAAGGGUAGCUCUUACACUUGGCAAAGUCUUUGGUAUGGCGGAUGA